AACGAACGCUGGUGGUAUGCUUAACACAUGCAAGUCGAACGGACCUUGGAAGCUUGCUUCCAAGUAGUCAGGUGGCAAACGGGUGAGUAAUACAUAGGAAUCGUACCUAACAGUACGGAAUAACUCUGGGAAACCAGAGCUAAUACCCGUAGUAUUACCGAGUUUAUCGGGAAAGAUUUAUCGCUGUUAGAUGAGCCUGUGUCAGAUUAGCUUGUUGGUGGGGUAAUGGCCUACCAAGGCGAUGAUCUGUAGCUGGUCUGAGAGGAUGAUCAGCCACACUGGGACUGCGACACGGCCCAG
rnacentral:rRNA from 1 species